AGAGUUUGAUCCUGGCUCAGGAUGAACGCUGGCGGCGUGCCUAAUACAUGCAAGUCGAGCGAACAGACAAGGAGCUUGCUCCUUUGACGUUAGCGGCGGACGGGUGAGUAACACGUGGGUAACCUACCUAUAAGACUGGGAUAACUUCGGGAAACCGGAGCUAAUACCGGAUAAUAUUUCGAACCGCAUGGUUCGAUAGUGAAAGAUGGUUUUGCUAUCACUUAUAGAUGGACCCGCGCCGUAUUAGCUAGUUGGUAAGGUAACGGCUUACCAAGGCGACGAUACGUAGCCGACCUGAGAGGGUGAUCGGCCACACUGGAACUGAGACACGGUCCAGACUCCUACGGGAGGCGGCAGUAGGGAAUCUUCCGCAAUGGGCGAAAGCCUGACGGAGCAACGCCGCGUGAGUGAUGAAGGUCUUCGGAUCGUAAAACUCUGUUAUUAGGGAAGAACAUACGUGUAAGUAACUGUGCACGUCUUGACGGUACCUAAUCAGAAAGCCACGGCUAACUACGUGCCAGCAGCCGCGGUAAUACGUAGGUGGCAAGCGUUAUCCGGAAUUAUUGGGCGUAAAGCGCGCGUAGGCGGUUUUUUAAGUCUGAUGUGAAAGCCCACGGCUCAACCGUGGAGGGUCAUUGGAAACUGGAAAACUUGAGUGCAGAAGAGGAAAGUGGAAUUCCAUGUGUAGCGGUGAAAUGCGCAGAGAUAUGGAGGAACACCAGUGGCGAAGGCGACUUUCUGGUCUGUAACUGACGCUGAUGUGCGAAAGCGUGGGGAUCAAACAGGAUUAGAUACCCUGGUAGUCCACGCCGUAAACGAUGAGUGCUAAGUGUUAGGGGGUUUCCGCCCCUUAGUGCUGCAGCUAACGCAUUAAGCACUCCGCCUGGGGAGUACGACCGCAAGGUUGAAACUCAAAGGAAUUGACGGGGACCCGCACAAGCGGUGGAGCAUGUGGUUUAAUUCGAAGCAACGCGAAGAACCUUACCAAAUCUUGACAUCCUUUGACAACUCUAGAGAUAGAGCCUUCCCCUUCGGGGGACAAAGUGACAGGUGGUGCAUGGUUGUCGUCAGCUCGUGUCGUGAGAUGUUGGGUUAAGUCCCGCAACGAGCGCAACCCUUAAGCUUAGUUGCCAUCAUUAAGUUGGGCACUCUAAGUUGACUGCCGGUGACAAACCGGAGGAAGGUGGGGAUGACGUCAAAUCAUCAUGCCCCUUAUGAUUUGGGCUACACACGUGCUACAAUGGACAAUACAAAGGGCAGCGAAACCGCGAGGUCAAGCAAAUCCCAUAAAGUUGUUCUCAGUUCGGAUUGUAGUCUGCAACUCGACUACAUGAAGCUGGAAUCGCUAGUAAUCGUAGAUCAGCAUGCUACGGUGAAUACGUUCCCGGGUCUUGUACACACCGCCCGUCACACCACGAGAGUUUGUAACACCCGAAGCCGGUGGAGUAACCAUUUGGAGCUAGCCGUCGAAGGUGGGACAAAUGAUUGGGGUGAAGUCGUAACAAGGUAACCGUA
rnacentral:rRNA from 1 species